CCUACGGGCGGCAGCAGUGGGGAAUAUUGGACAAUGGGCGCAAGCCUGAUCCAGCCAUGCCGCGUGAGUGAUGAAGGCCUUCGGGUUGUAAAGCUCUUUUGUCCGGGACGAUAAUGACGGUACCGGAAGAAUAAGCCCCGGCUAGCUUCGUGCCAGCAGCCACGGUAAUACGAAGGGGGCUAGCGUUGCUCGGAAUCGCUGGGCGUAAAGGGCGCGUAGGCGGCCAUUCAAGUCGAGGGUGAAAGCCUGUGGCUCAACCACAGAAUUGCCUUCGAUACUGUUUGGCUUGAGUUUGGUAGAGGUUGGUGGAACUGCGAGUGUAGAGGUGAAAUUCGUAGAUAUUCGCAAGAACACCAGUGGCGAAGGCGGCCAACUGGACCAAUACUGACGCUGAGGCGCGAAAGCGUGGGGAGCAAACAGGAUUAGAUACCCGAGUAGUC
rnacentral:rRNA from 1 species